GCCAGUGUGUCCCGGGGCUCUAGAUUGCGGGUGGAGAGCUGUGCUGGGCUUGGACCGGAGGGAAGAGGAUGCCCGGCUGGGGGAGGGGAAGGAGGAGGAUCGUGAGUUGGAGGGGUUCCUGAGGACCCUGGUCGGGAGGAGGAAAAGAGUAGGGUUUUGUCCUAGGUGCACACAACCAAACGAGGUGAUCCUCAUGAGCUGAGAAACAUAUUCCUACAGUAUGCCAGCACCGAGGUGGACGGAGAGCAUUACAUGACUCCGGAAGACUUCGUUCAACGCUACCUUGGCCUGUACAAUGAUCCGAACAGCAACCCAAAGAUCGUGCAGCUCUUGGCAGGAGUAGCUGAUCAAACCAAGGAU
rnacentral:lncRNA from 1 species